AUCAGUGAGCACCUGAAUGCAGCAUAGAGCAUAUCGACUCGGCCAACAUGGCGGCGCCCGAAAGUGGCAAAUGUGGCUUUUUCGUGGAGAAAAAGAAACGCUUUUGUAAAAUGGUCGUUGCCAAAGGUAAAAGGUUCUGUGGAGAACAUGCAACCAUGGAAGAAGGCGGCAGCAGCAGGAGGAUUCUUUGCCCUCUGGACCCCAAACACACGGUCAGUGAAGACAAACUGGACAAACACUUGAAGAAAUGUAACUCCAGAGUCAAACCAAAGCCGCAAUAUUAUGUGGAGAACAUCAACGCUGGCUCAGCUAACCAAGACCACGAUGGCGCCCAAGGGGUGAGUCUGUGUGAACAAACCACGACUCAGUUACGACACCUGCUGGACAAAUUGAAGACUGCUACAAAAGCUCUCGACUGUCAGCUGGAGGAGAGCUUCCUGUCUCAUCCCGUCUUUCAAGAGGAACUUAAUAACCCCAAAAAUGGAGACUCCGCCCACAAGCACCUGAAGCAGCAGGCUUCCAUCGUAGCACACCUGGAGACGCUGGGCUUGCUGGGACGCGGGCGGUGCUUCGUGGAGUUCGGAGCAGGUCGAGGGAAACUCUCCCACUGGAUCCACGAAGCCCUGAAAACCACAGAGCAGCCGGCGGACUUGGACGACCUGCAGCUGCUUCUGGUGGAAAGAAGCAGCACCCGCUUUAAGGUGGAUGGGAAGCAUCAGGACGCCGGCGUGGAGUUUGCCAGGCUGCAGAUCGACAUCCAGCACCUGGAUCUGAGUAAAGUGCCGCUGCUGGAACGCCGGUUGCCGCUGGUCGGAGUGGGGAAACAUUUAUGUGGCGCGGCGACAGAUCUCGCUCUUCGCUGCUUGCUGGAAACACCGGCGCCUCAACGCGGACCGCCAAGGAAGCGCCUCAAAACGUCAGACGAGAGCCCCGGUCCCUGCGCGUCCCCCGGUCCUGCCGCAGUGCUGGGCCUGGCGGUGGCGCUGUGCUGUCACCACCGCUGCGAGUGGCGCCACUACGUGGGUCAGCAGUUCUUUUCGGACCUGGGCCUGGGUCCCGCGGAGUUUUCCGGGUUCUGCCGCAUGUCCAGCUGGGCCACGUGCGGCCUUCGAGCCGCCGAUCGGAGCGCGGACGAAGAACACGAGCCGAUAGAAGAGACAGACGAGGCGCUCGGGUUUCUGUCGCCGGCCGAGCGCGAGCAGGUGGGACGCCGCUGCAAACUUCUGAUCGACAGCGGGAGAAUCCACUUCCUGCGCAGCCGAGGAUUCCACGGCCGACUCACUUGUUACGUCGGCAGUCACCUGACCCUGGAGAAUGUCCUGCUGACGGCCACGCCCUCCCAUGUUUGACUUUGUCGCUAAUAAAACCUCAUUUUGACGCCACUCAGCAGGCGACUCUGUGCACGUUGAGCGCGGCGUGCGCUCUCUUCCGGGCCUCACGUAUGUACGACAGCAUGAAGUCUCGCCCGAACAUCUCGCGGUCGUCGUCGUCCUCCUGCUCCUCCUCCUCGGGCGCCGUUGUCACGGAUAUAUUGACUUCCAGCGUCAGCGGAUUGUCCCGGAAGUUGACAAACCUGCGAGAAGAUCCACGUAAGGAGCAUCCUUGCUGUUGUCCAGACGUGGACAGGAAGUACUUACCUGAGGUUGGACAUGUCCUCCAUCAUGGGGGGGAUGUCGCUCAGUCUGUUGCUGCUCAGAACCAGCGUGUCCAAGCUGGGCAUCCUGCUGAUGUUCUCUGGAAGUUUCUCCAGCUGGUUUCGCUGCAGCCACAAGGCGUGCAGGUUCUCCAUCCUGACCACAGCCAGCGCUGGGUUUUGAAUGGCGGACGGGGGACGAGGAGGCGGGGCCUUUACCUACCUGUUGAUGUCUUCGGGUAAGGAGGUCAGGCAGUUUCCCGCCAUGUCGAGCCACUCCAGCGCCGGCAUGCUGAGCAAGCACGGCGGCACCAGGCUGAAGAGGUUCAUGGACAAGUCCAGAUGCUGCAGACACCUCAGCUUGCUCAACUGGAAACGCGACAAGAAACAGAAACAAAUUCCGGUUCUGGUCAAGCAUCCUUGAGGGAUUGGAUUAUAGAACCAGUCCAAGGGCCUAUAAAAGAUCUACACAAGGGAGAAGAAAAACCUUUCUACCUGGUCCGGAAGCUGGUGGAGGUCUCGGUUCAUUGCCAGUUCCAACCUCUCCAGACUCUCACAGUUGCCGAGCUCCUCCGGAACAAACUGGACUCGGUUGUAGCUGAGCAGCAGUUCUUUGAGCCGGUGACCCCAUUCCGAGACAGAUCCAGGACCAGAAGGUUCUGGAAGGAAGAGAUGAAGCCGGGGAUCUUCUGCAGGCCGCAGCGGUGAAUGUGCCACUCCUGCACCUGACUCAGCUGGACCAGGCAGCCCGGCAGCGACUGGACCACAACAUUGCAACGUCAGCCGCGCGCUCAGCGGGUCAAAGGUCGAGGGCCGCGACGUCACCUUACGCUCCUCGUGCUCGAUGCGCAGAACCAGUCGGCCAUCUUCAGUCGUCAGUUUCUGUUUGAGCUGAGCCAGAGUCUCCCGCUCCUCCCAAACGCCGAUGCUCAACCUGGACGGGGGUCGGGAAGCGUGUUUGUCAGUACUACGGACCGCCGGGCUAACGUAACUUUUGUGGUGAAGUGAAGAUGCAGUCCAACCUGCUGCUGCGCUGCUUCCUGCUCUGCUUCUCCCGCGUCUCCCGGACGUUCUGGAUCUUGGUCUCCCACAACGCUUUCAUGGAACUGACCGAGCCGCAUACCACAAUGGCCGCCAUGACAAGUGUCUACCUUGUGAUGUCACAGCGUACAGGACGACCCCUGACCUCCGGGCUCCUGUCAUCAAGCGUCUGGUCCCAUCGUCAAACGCCAGCUGUCUGAACACCGCAGAGGAGCCUCUUGUCAUCGCCGCCAUCUUUUUACUGUGACGUAGCAGCCGCACGCCCCGCCAGCAGCCAAUCAACUCGCAGUGACGUCAUUGCAGACUGAACGGAGCAGAAGGAAAGUUGAUUUAAUUUUUUUAUUUAUUUUGAUUAUUAUUAUUUCUCGAGGUUAUAAAUAAAGGUUUAUAGAAUUUUAAAUAAAAAUAAAAGGAAAGUUGAUUUAAUUUACACAGUAUGAACAAACAUUUUAAAAGGAAUUUUACCCCGAACUGGACUUGAUUGAUACAAGCGGUAGAAAUGGAUGGAUGGCUAAGUUUUAUAUUCAUAAAUGUAAGUUUCUUAAUACCCGACCUGCUUUUUGUGCCUUUAAAAAAGAAUUACAACUUUACGUUAAAACACUCUCUACCUCUAACAAUCAAAAAGCUGUGAAAACAAUGAUGCUGUGUUCCAAAUUAAAAUUAUUUACUGAACUUGUAUGAGCCUAUGGCUUUGCACUUUGUUAUAUACAUAUGUACAUAUAUAUAUUUUGCAUUCUAUUUUUGUUACUUUAUUGAGUUUAAAACCCCCUGGCGCUGAUUUGUACUGUUUUUGUACUUAUUUUGAUCAUUAUUUCUCAACUGUUUGUAAAUGUUGCAAUUUAUAAAUAAAGGUUUAUACAAUUCCAAAAAAAGAAAGGAAAGUUGAUUUAAUUUACACAGUAUGAACAAAAAUUUUCAAAUUAAUUUGACCUUUGCAACAUUAUACUAUUGGCUAAGUUUUAUAUUCAUAAAUGUAAGUUCCUCAAUACCCGACCUGCUUUUUGUGCCUAUAUAUAUAUAUACAUAUGUAUUUUUUGCAUUCUAUUUUAGUUACUUUAUUGAGUUUACAACCCCCUGGUGCUGAUUUG